GGCAGUGUCCUGGAAUCCAUGUACUAUGGGGAGAGAUGGUCCUGGUUUAGAAAAUGAAGGAUUUAGAACAAGACUUAAUUUUUACCUUAAAACUGGGCCACCCUGAUAACAUGUACUCUUUCUCCUACAGGUAAAACCCAUGAGCUGUUUGCUACCUCUCGAAAUAUUUGUUACAUCCACUGACAUAUGCACUGGCACACACAUGUGUACACACACAUGCACAAUUUAUAUAUUGGGCCAGAGACUUCCUGUAUCCCCACAAUGUGUGAACACUUCUGAAUGUAUUUUGAAAUGUGCAUUAAAAUGAAUCAGUGAUGCC